rnacentral:misc_RNA from 1 species
GGCUCCCCUUAAAUGCAUCGGUUUCGGGUCUCUGUGGGAGUAACCCCUUGGGCGUUGUAUAACCCUCGCCGUCUGGGAACUCCACGCGACGUCCGCGUCGUUGAAGGGCCUUGAAGAAACCUCGACCUGCUGUAGAGCGGCGGUCAAUGUUAACAUCGAGAUCUGACCUCAAAUCAGGUAGGACUACCCGCUGAACUUAA